CCAAUAGCGUAUAUUAAAGUUGUUGCAGUUAAAAAGCUCGUAGUUGAAUUUCGGGGUUAGUAGGUUGGUCGUGCCUAUGGUAUGUACUGGCUUUACUGAUUCCUCCUUCUUGAAGAACUGUAAUGUCAUUAAUUUGGUGUUGCAGGGACACAGGACUGUUACUUUGAAAAAAUUAGAGUGUUUAAAGCAGGCUAACGCUUGAAUACAUUAGCAUGGAAUAAUGAAAUAGGACGUUUGAUCCUAUUUUGUUGGUUUCUAGGAUUGACGUAAUGAUUAAUAGGGAUAGUUGGGGGCAUUAGUAUUCAAUUGUCAGAGGUGAAAUUCUUGGAUUUAUUGAAGACUAACUACUGCGAAAGCAUUUGCCAAGGAUGUUUUCAUUAAUCAAGAACGAAAGUUAGGGGAUCGAAGACGAUCAGAUACCGUCGUAGUCUUAACCAUAAACUAUGCCGACUAGGGAUCGGAUGAUGUUAAUUUUUUAAUGACUCAUUCGGCGCCUUACG
rnacentral:rRNA from 1 species